rnacentral:rRNA from 1 species
GACGUAGGGCGCGAGCGUUGUCCGGAUUUAUUGGGCGUAAAGAGCUCGUAGGCGGCUUGUCGCGUCGACCGUGAAAACUUGGGGCUCAACCCUAAGCCUGCGGUCGAUACGGGCAGGCUCGAGUUCGGUAGGGGAGACUGGAAUUCCUGGUGUAGCGGUGAAAUGCGCAGAUAUCAGGAGGAACACCGGUGGCGAAGGCGGGUCUCUGGGCCGAUACCGACGCUGAGGAGCGAAAGCGUGGGGGAGCGAACAGG